CACAUCCCUAAACCUGAAAUGUAAAGCAGAACGUGCUCCACUGGCAGGUUAUUGUAGAAUAUGUAAGCACACUGCCAUAUACAUAAUUUAUUUUUGCACUGUUAAUCAAUUUUACAUUUUCACUUAGUGCAGGUUAAUGUAAGGAAGAUACUAGACUACAGAUAUUUAAAUCCUUUUUGAAUGUACUCCACUUCUUCACUGCCUGACCAUCAUCUUAAUGUUUAUGAAGUUCAAUGUUUUUAUUAUUUUUUAUAUCUAAAGCACCUUGUUCAGUAAGUAUUUAGAUGUUUUUCAUAUCUGUCACGGUCUAAGCAUGAUCUGUUUCUGUUGUUCUGAUGAAGGAAGCUUGUGUUGGGGAGGAUUCAGUGUCUGUUGAGGCACAUGUGAAUGUGCUACAAAGUGAGUUUCAGAAACGCAUCCAGACACAUGGACUGUCAAAGACCACACGACAGGAACAUUCUCCUGGAGACGCUGAGAAUGCGCGGAAGGAAUGUCUGUGGAGGAUGUACUCAAAAAAUACACAUACUUUAAGGACACCUGCUGGAGUAUGGUUGACUGGAAGUCUGUCAGUCCAGAUGUGAGGAAGACAUGCAGAGUGGAGCUGGAGCUCAGCAGAUGUGUGAUGCUGUAGAUACUGUGGUUUUGGAAAGAAGGGCAUCUUCACAGCUUUCUAUUCAGACAAAGAGUUUGCUGGAUUCUGUUCUAUGGACUGCUACUACAGAAUGAAUGAAUGAAUGAGUGGUUUAUCUAUCUAUCUAUCUAUCUAUCUAUCUAUCUAUCUAUCUAUCUAUCUAUCUAUCUAUCUAUCUUUUUACUUGAAUUGGUGACUGAAACUGAAAGCUAAAUAAAUGUUUUAGUGGAUAAA